rnacentral:rRNA from 1 species
GAUGAACGCUGGCGGCGUGCCUAAUACAUGCAAGUCGAGCGAACAGAUGAGGAGCUUGCUCCUCUGACGUUAGCGGCGGACGGGUGAGUAACACGUGGAUAACCUACUUAUAAAACUGGGAUAACUUCGGGAAACCGGAGCUAAUACCGGAUAAUAUAUUGAACCGCAUGGUUCAAUAGUGAAAGACGGUUUUGCUGUCACUUAUAGAUGGAUCCGCGCCGCAUUAGCUAGUUGGUAAGGUAACGGCUUACCAAGGCAACGAUGCGUAGCCGACCUGAGAGGGUGAUCGGCCACACUGGAACUGAGACACGGUCCAGACUCCUACGGGAGGCAGCAGUAGGGAAUCUUCCGCAAUGGGCGAAAGCCUGACGGAGCAACGCCGCGUGAGUGAUGAAGGUCUUCGGAUCGUAAAACUCUGUUAUUAGGGAAGAACAAAUGUGUAAGUAACUAUGCACGUCUUGACGGUACCUAAUCAGAAAGCCACGGCUAACUACGUG